GCCGGACUAGCUCAAUCGGUAGAGCAUGAGACUCUUAAUCUCAGGGUCAUGGGUUCGAGCCCUACAUUGGGUG